rnacentral:misc_RNA from 1 species
AGCAUCUCCUUCACGCCUCUUCAUUUGUUGGCGCAAGCGUGGUCUUGGCCAAAAUCGGGUUCCCUGUGCUAGAUACCUAUCUCGAAGGAAUUUUGUCGGUUCAAUUGUUGGAAUUCCGUCGUGUUCCACUGCUCCUUGCGGGGAAGUGGUGCGCUGCGGACCUCAAGGCACUCGCCGUGUCUCACAUUGUGUUCACCUAUAUAGGUGUUCCGAUUGUUGAGCCAUGGCGCAAUGCUUGAUAUCUCGGGUGCGGAACAUCUCGUGGGUAUGAGGCCUUUCGGCCUCUAAUCACCACAACAACUAGCGUUCUACGCUUCGUGCGAACGACGGUUGGCUCGGUUUUCAAAUGUGCUCUAGUAGUCCAAUUGGAGUCGAGCCAACGUCGG